rnacentral:tRNA from 1 species
CGAGGUGUAGCGCAGUCUGGUCAGCGCAUCUGUUUUGGGUACAGAGGGCCAUAGGUUCGAAUCCUGUCACCUUGAUGUGA